rnacentral:rRNA from 1 species
UACGUAGGAUGCAAGCGUUGUCCGGAAUUAUUGGGCGUAAAGCGCGCGCAGGCGGGAUGACAAGUCUAUCUUAAAAGUUCGGGGCUCAACCCCGUGAUGGGAUAGAAACUGUUAUUCUCGAGUGUCGGAGAGGAAAGUGGAAUUCCCAGUGUAGCGGUGAAAUGCGUAGAUAUUGGGAGGAACACCAGUGGCGAAGGCGACUUUCUGGACGAUGUCUGACGCUGAGGCGCGAAAGCCAGGGAAGUGAACGGG